CGGAGUAUAGCAUAAUUUGGUAGUGCUCUAGUUUUGGGAACUAGAUUGUGUAAGUUCAAAUCUUACUACUCCGA
rnacentral:tRNA from 1 species